rnacentral:rRNA from 1 species
GGGCGUAAAGAGCUCGUAGGUGGUUUGUCGCGUUGUUCGUGAAAACUCACAGCUUAACUGUGGGCGUGCGGGCGAUACGGGCAGACUAGAGUACUGCAGGGGAGACUGGAAUUCCUGGUGUAGCGGUGGAAUGCGCAGAUAUCAGGAGGAACACCGGUGGCGAAGGCGGGUCUCUGGGCAGCAACUGACGCUGAGGAGCGAAAGCGUGGGGAGCGAACAGGAUUAGAUACCCUGGUAGUCCACGCCGUAAACGGUGGGUACUAGGUGUGGGUUCCUUCCUUGGGAUCCGUGCCGUAGCUAACGCAUUAAGUACCCCGCCUGGGGAGUACGGCCGCAAGGCUCAAACUCAAAGGAAUUGACGGGGGCCCGCACCAGCGGCGGAGCAUGUGGAUUAAUUCGAUGCAACGCGAAGAACCUUACCUGGGUUUGACAUGCACAGGACGCCGGCAGAGAUGUCGGUUCCCUUGUGGCCUGUGUGCAGGUGGUGCAUGGCUGUCGUCAGCUCGUGUCGUGAGAUGUUGGGUUAAGUCCCGCAACGAGCGCAACCCUUGUCCUAUGUUGCCAGCGGGUUAUGCCGGGGACUCGUAGGAGACUGCCGGGGUCAACUCGGAGGAAGGUGGGGAUGACGUCAAGUCAUCAUGCCCCUUAUGUCCAGGGCUUCACACAUGCUACAAUGGCCGGUACAAAGGGCUGCGAUGCCGUGAGGUGGAGCGAAUCCUUUCAAAGCCGGUCUCAGUUCGGAUCGGGGUCUGCAACUCGACCCCGUGAAGUCGGAGUCGCGAGUAA